UCACCUGCCAGAUAAGACAAGGCAACAAUAACUGAAACUGCAUUACACAGCCUUUUACACAGAGAGGAACAGACUUUUAUUCUCAUAAUCAGCCACAUAAUACUAUUUCUUUUUUAUCUUAUCGUCUCACCCACAACCACUUUUCUAUCUUGUUCUCAAAUAAAUGCAGACAACACAGACUUAUGUAUUUGUUUAUUCUACUUGUACGUUUCGCAACGCAGACAGACGACAACGUGUCACUGGCCAAAUAUUUGCAUUUCUGUACACCAAGAAUUAACUUGGUAAAAACAAAUACUUACUAAUACGGUACAUCCUCCUGGAGAGCAAUUUGGAAACAUAAAAUUUGGGUAGGAAAUAAAGACCAAGUCAAAAGACCCAUUUAUAUAUUUAUGUGUGCAAGUAAAGACGAGAUAAAUUGCCGGCCUUGAACCUUGCCCUUGUAAAAUUGCGUUUUGAGAAGGAAUGAGCAAUAAAAGUUAUCGUGGUUGAGGGUAUUGCACCACCAUCACUACCCGACCGACCAGGAUGCCGAGAGAAAGGACCUCAGCCAGAAAGAGAAAGAAAUAAAGGGUGGUGCUAAAUGGAGUGGAGUUAACUAAUGAGUGCAAUAAUCUCGUAACGACAGUUUUGUGCAUGUACAGACAGAGAUGUGUAUGCAUGUGCAAACAAUGUGCACUCCUUGUAUGGAAAUGGACGAAUUUUACAUAUUUAAGUAGAUGUGAAUGCACAAUUCUGUCCAAUUGUAGAAUUUUGAAUUUAUAAAAAGUGAAAAAAAUACACAGUAUAAAGAAACAAGAAAUACCAUUACCAAGUUUGUGACGACCGGGUAAUGGGGUUCGUAGUAAAAGAAUAAAUUAGCAAUUUGGGGAGUGACUCAAGACGACAAUUGUCCUAUUCUUAUAAAGUUUCGCUUUACAGCAAAAAAAGAAACAUUCAACCCGAGUCAAACAAGUCAACCCGGCUUACACAUAUUUUAUACAAGGACUGGGCUGGCUUUUCUUUCUGUGGUUAAAUAUGUGAUGGAGGAGGUUGCUUUCUCGUGAUAGCGAUACAUACAAGAGAAAGGAAAGACAGACAAGAAGUAUUUUAUUUACGGGAAAAGUUGGGGAACAUAGAAUUGCAGAGAAAGCAUUUUUUUUAGGAAAUAGUCAUUUUUUUCAUCUGGUUUCGGUCUCUUACCAAAAAAACGAAGAAGGAAUCCAAAAUUCAUGAAAAAGUCCAUAUUGUGCAUUUCACAACAUUUCCGGUGAAAUCCGUAAAAAGGAGACGACGACAUAAAGCAAGAAAUAGUGUUUGACUAGACUUGACACGAUUUCCCGUAAAUAUUGAGCAGGAGGAGAGAAGAGUUGGAGAGGGUUGCGUGAGACGGUGACUGGAGCGUAGGAGCCAUCUGUCCAUCAACUGUGAGACGUGGAAAGAUGAGAAAAUUCUCAUCUCAUAAAGUCUCAAACCCUUCGUCUCACUUUUUGCUUUGCGUGUUUUACAGACAACUAAAUUGAAAUUUUGAUAACAAUUUUAAUCAUUCACCUUAUUUCUUCUCCCGUUAAUUUAGCAAGACAAAAACUAAAUAAACGGAACAGUAUAAAUAAUACAAGUAGAAUCACAAUUCAUCAAGCUUACGGUUUCGUUGUUUGACCAAUAUUGCUUAAAAUCAAUAAAGUAAGAGUAUGAGUUGUA